rnacentral:rRNA from 1 species
UACGGGGGGGGCAAGCGUUGUUCGGAAUUACUGGGCGUAAAGGGCUCGUAGGCGGCCAACUAAGUCGGACGUGAAAUCCCCAGGCUCAACCUGGGAACUGCGUCCGAUACUGGAUGGCUUGAAUCCGGGAGAGGGAUGCAGAAUUCCAGGUGUAGCGGUGAAAUGCGCAGAUAUCAGGAGGAACACCGAUGGCGAAGGCAGAUCUCUGGGCCGUAACUGACGCUGAGGAGCGAAAGCAUGGGGAGCGAACAGG